rnacentral:tRNA from 1 species
GUAGAAAUAGUUUAAUUCAAAACCCCAGAUUGUGAUUCUGUUAACAAAGGUUAAAAUCCUUUUUUCCACC